UACGUAGGUGGCAAGCGUUGUCCGGAAUUACUGGGCGUAAAGGGCGUGUAGGCGGCCUUUUAAGUCAGACGUGAAAUCUCUGGGCUUAACCCAGAAAUUGCGUUUGAAACUGGAGGGCUUGAGGAUCGGAGAGGGUAGUGGAAUUCCAUGUGUAGCGGUGAAAUGCGUAGAUAUAUGGAGGAACACCUGAGGUGAAGACGGGUUGCUGGUCUAACACUGACGCUGAGGCGCGAAAGCCAGGGGAGCAAACGGG
rnacentral:rRNA from 1 species